GGCAAGGUGGCCGAGCGGUCCAAGGCGCCACGUUAAGGGUCCUCCUUAAUCCACGCCCAUGUGUUGUUUCUCCCCAGCAACACGAGAGUUCCGUGGUCUCGAAAGGGGCGUGAGUUCGAAUCUCAUCCUUAUCA